rnacentral:lncRNA from 1 species
UAGGCUCAAGAGAUCCUCCCGCCUCAGACUCCCAAAGUGUUAGGAUUACAGGCAUGAGCCACCAUACCCGGCCUCAUUUUUAUUGACCUGAUUUCCGUCAUAGCCUGCAAGAUGCUUUGUUUUGAUUGUUUAUUUUCACUUCUGCCUCCUUCGGUAAACCUGUGAGUGUCCUGAGUGGGGGUCAAGAUUUGUUUGAGUGUAUGAUCUAAUCUGAAUACACACGUGUGUGUGCAUGUGUGUAUUUUUCUCCCUGUUGGAUUGCUCAGCCUCCACAGCCUGUUCUUCUCCACUGUGAUACACCAGGUGUCCUUCAGCAGGUGUAGUGAAACAAAGCAGAGGCUUUGACGUCACCCACGCUGGCCCUCGUGUGACUCACGGCCCAGCCCUGAGCCAGAAUCUGCUCCUGUUAUUACGGGUAUGAUUGUCUCCAUUUUACAAAUGAAGAUAUGGAGGCUCAUAUUCUUCAUCUGCAACUCAUUGAUGGAUAACCAGGUCGAGGUGACUGAUAGCCCUGCAGUCCUCUCUUCUCUCUAUGCUGAGGGAGAAUGACCUUUGAUUUGUGGCACUCACAGGGGCUGGCAAGGCCUGCAGUCAUUUGCAGCUGAUUCUGCUGCUUUGUGUCAUGAGACAUUAAGUGACCUGCUUGGAUUCACUGAACUAAUUAGUGGCAUAGCUGGGAUUGGAACUCAAUAUUCCCUUCUCCAAAUGAUGGGGUUCCCUCUGUGCUUGGUGUCUUCUUGACUUCUAAUGUGUCUGAAAUGCAUAAUUGUUAGAACCCUGGGCCCCUGUAACCUUCACCGGUCAACUCUCAUCACCCCAAGCACCCUGAUGGAUUCGCGGAGCACAGAGGACAAUCCCAGCAAACGUGUUUAUCAUCAAUGAGGGCUUUUGUUGCCGUCUCUUGUACCUUGGUGACUUGGGAUAGAGCACACAUAAACCUCCAGGAUUAUUUUUCACCCUUUUAGUUUAAGGACUAGGAUGAAUGAACAACUCUUGGCCUAUUUUGUUAACCUUAACUCACACCUACUUUUUGCCCUGUGACCGAGGCAUGAAAAUACGUGUUUUUUUCCUUUAGGCCUAGAACAAAGCUGCCACCUUCCCCCACAGUGGUGUUUUUUAAAUGCUUGGUUAUGACCAAUUAGAGGAUUGUAAAAUCAGUGUAGUGGGGUGACGAGCAUUAAAAAAUAGAACAGGAUAUAAAAUAAAAAAGUAGUAGUAGA